UACGUAGGGGGCAAGCGUUUGUCCGGAAUCAUUGGGCGUAAAAGCGCGCGUAGGCGGCCCGGUAAGUCCGUUGUGAAAGUCAAAGGCUCAACCUUUGAACGCCGAUGGAUACUGCCGGGCUAGAGUCCGGAAGAGGCGAGUGGAAUUCCUGGUGUAGCGGUGGAAUGCGCAGAUAUCAGGAGGAACACCAAUAGCGAAGGCAGCUCUGGGACGGUACUGACGCUGAGGCGCGAAAAGCGUGGGGGAG
rnacentral:rRNA from 1 species